rnacentral:misc_RNA from 1 species
AACGCACCUUGCGCCUCUUGGCAUUCCGAGAGGCACACCCGUUUGAGCGUCGUGACAUCCUCAACCUUUCUCGAUCCUUUUGCGACCGAGGAAGGCUUGGACUUUGGGGGAUAUGCUGGCUUCCUCCUUCGAAGCCAGCUCCCCUUAAACGGAUUAGUGGGUUUCGCUUCGCCGAUCCUCGACGUUGAUAAGAUGCUUCUACGUCUUGGGCUUAGUCGGACGCCUGCUUCUAACCGUCUCGAAAGGAGAGACAAACGCGAUCGUUCGAAAUUUGACCUCAAAUCGGGUGAGACUACCCGCUGAACUUAA